CCCUGCAUUCGUAAGUGAUCAUGGGCUGCCCGUGUCUUGCUCACUGGUGGUGCAGGCAGAGGAAAUGUGGAAAGGAUUGUCCCAUGUUUGGAGGGUUCGCAUCCUACCUUCCAGUUCUGGGAGCUUUCCCACA